rnacentral:sRNA from 1 species
CUCCGGGGGCAAGAGGUUCGACUCGAGCGAAGCGAGAGAACGUUGCAUCAGCAACGGCCCGCAGGGCGAGCCACGCAGUGGCGAGUCAUCCUCUAUCACCGACCA